rnacentral:rRNA from 1 species
UACGUAGGGUGCGAGCGUUAAUCGGAAUUACUGGGCGUAAAGCGUGCGCAGGCGGUUCGUUGUGUCGGCGGUGAAAGCCCCGGGCUUAACCUGGGAAUGGCCGUUGAAACUGGCGAACUGGAGUGUGGCAGAGGGGGGUGGAAUUCCGCGUGUAGCAGUGAAAUGCGUAGAGAUGCGGAGGAACACCGAUGGCGAAGGCAGCCCCCUGGGCUGACACUGACGCUCAGGCACGAAAGCGUGGGGAGCAAACAGG